CCAGACUCCUACGGGAGGCAGCAGUGAGGAAUAUUGGUCAAUGGGCGAGAGGCUGAACCAGCCAAGUCGCGUGAGGGAAGACGGCCCUACGGGUUGUAAACCUCUUUUGUCGGGGAGCAAAGCGAGUCACGUGUGACUCAUUGAGAGUACCCGAAGAAAAAGCAUCGGCUAACUCCGUGCCAGCAGCCGCGGUAAUACGGAGGAUGCGAGCGUUAUCCGGAUUUAUUGGGUUUAAAGGGUGCGUAGGCGGACAGUCAAGUCAGCGGUAAAAAUGCGGUGCUCAACGCCGUACAGCCGUUGAAACUGGCGGUCUUGAGUGGGCGAGAAGUAUGCGGAAUGCGUGGUGUAGCGGUGAAAUGCAUAGAUAUUACGCAGAACUCCGAUUGCGAAGGCAGCAUACCGGCGCCCGACUGACGCUGAGGCACGAAAGCGUGGGUAUCGAACAGGAUUAGAUACCCCAGUAUG
rnacentral:rRNA from 1 species